rfam:Lasallia pustulata genome assembly, contig: scaffold43_size154718
CUGUCCCGGAUAUGACACAACAUCCUGCUGUGAUGUUGUGUGGCCUGCAGUGUCAGUCCGGGACAG